rnacentral:rRNA from 1 species
AUCAUUAAUUAUGUUAAAGCGCCUUACCUUAGGGUUUCCUCUGGGGUAAGUGAUUGCUUCUACACUGUGAAAAUUUGGCUGAGAGACUCAGACUGGUCAUGGGUAGACCUAUCUGGGGUUUGAUCGAUGCCACUCCUGGUUUCAGGAGCACCCUUCAUAAUAAACCUAGAAAUUCAGUAUUAUAAAGUUUAAUAAAAAACAACUUUUAACAAUGGAUCUCUUGGUUCUCGCAUCGAUGAAGAACGUAGCAAAGUGCGAUAACUAGUGUGAAUUGCAUAUUCAGUGAAUCAUCGAGUCUUUGAACGCAGCUUGCACUCUAUGGUUUUUCUAUAGAGUACGCCUGCUUCAGUAUCAUCACAAACCCACACAUAACAUUUGUUUAUGUGGUAAUGGGUCGCAUCGCUGUUUUAUUACAGUGAGCACCUAAAAUGUGUGUGAUUUUCUGUCUGGCUUGCUAGGCAGGAAUAUUACGCUGGUCUCAGGAUCUUUUUCUUUGGUUCGCCCAGGAAGUAAAGUACAAGAGUAUAAUCCAGCAACUUUCAAACUAUGAUCUGAAGUCAGGUGGGAUUACCCGCUGAACUUAAGCAUAUCAAUAAGCGGAGGA